rnacentral:rRNA from 1 species
ACGAACGCUGGCGGCAUGCCUAACACAUGCAAGUCGAACGAGACCUUCGGGUCUAGUGGCGCACGGGUGCGUAACGCGUGGGAACCUGCCCUUAGGUUCGGAAUAACUCCCCGAAAGGGGUGCUAAUACCGGAUAAUGUCUUCGGACCAAAGAUUUAUCGCCUUUGGAUGGGCCCGCAUUGGAUUAGCUAGUUGGUAGGGUAAAAGCCUACCAAGGCGACGAUCCAUAGCUGGUCUGAGAGGAUGAUCAGCCACACUGGGACUGAGACACGGCCCAGACUCCUACGGGAGGCAGCAGUGGGGAAUAUUGGACAAUGGGCGAAAGCCUGAUCCAGCAAUGCCGCGUGAGUGAUGAAGGCCUUAGGGUUGUAAAGCUCUUUUACCCGGGAUGAUAAUGACAGUACCGGGAGAAUAAGCUCCGGCUAACUCCGUG